UACAGAGGUCGCGAGCGUUGUUCGGAUUCAUUGGGCGUAAAGGGUGCGUAGGCGGAGGGGAAAGUCUGAUGUGAAAUCCUGGGGCUCAACCCUGGAACUGCAUUGGAUACUUCCUUGCUAGAGUACUGGAGAGGAAACUGGAAUUUACGGUGUAGCAGUGAAAUGCGUAGAGAUCGUAAGGAAGACCAGUGGCGAAGGCGAGUUUCUGGACAGUUACUGACGCUGAGGCACGAAGGCCAGGGGAGCAAACGGG
rnacentral:rRNA from 1 species